AAGAAGCUGGGAGGGGGCAGCAUAAAAAUAUCGUACACCAGACCCACUGCAGACUAAAAAUAAUUGCUGUUAUUUGAGAAGCGCGGUGUCCUAAAGCUGCUCUUGCGCUGGUUUUGUGCGUCCAUGACUGUUGCCCGAAAGCUGCUAUGACUCAGGUAUCAUGAAUCUAAACUUAAUCUUAACUCGUUGUGUAUUUUAAAAAGAAAUGGCAUUCUCGGUUUCAUUACACAAGUUCCAGAAUGAGCUGAAGCAGGUGGUAUGUGUUACAUUUCUCCGCGCUGGAAGUCUGGAAACAUUACUGCGGAUCUGUUGGGUGUAACUGCGUCCUGAACCCUAAAAGCGAAAACACAAUCCUCCUGGACCAUCACUAUUCCGUUCUAAACUUUGUGGAAAGUGGGGGUUUGAAGCACGUCACCCUGAUGUCACCCUCAUGGAGGUUCUUCCUGUCUUCUGUGCUCUGUGUUGCCCUUUUUCAUCUAAUUUCGGGUCAGAGCUGCUCAGAGCACUGUAAAGCAUGCGGGGGCCCAGAGAAAGACCAGUGCCUUCAGUGCCACACCGGAUUCAUCCUGCAUGACAACCUGUGUGUGGAUAUCGAUGAAUGUGGUACUGAUCUGGAUCUGUGUCCCGACAACACGUACUGCUCAAACACCCAUGGCUCUUAUGAAUGCAAAGGUCAGUGUGGUUUAUCCUCAACACAUGGAUCAGCAGAGUAACACAUGUUACACUUGCACUUAAUAUGAUUUGUGGUUUAAUACGGAAUAAAAGUUCACUUUAGUGUACAGUGUCCUUGAUGCACAUGAGAGAGGAUAAAGUAUACCAUGUGUCAAAAAUUUGAUUGAUGAGGGUCAUAAAAGCCAUCUGUUCUGGACACCUGUUUGUACCCCCCACCCCUCCCCUCCCUGUA